rnacentral:rRNA from 1 species
UACGGAGGGGGCUAGCGUUGUUCGGAAUUACUGGGCGUAAAGCGCGCGUAGGCGGAUCUGCAAGUCGGGGGUGAAAGCCCGAGGCUCAACCUCGGAACUGCCUUCGAUACUGCGGGUCUCGAGUCCGGGAGAGGUGAGUGGAAUUCCUAGUGUAGAGGUGAAAUUCGUAGAUAUUAGGAAGAACACCAGUGGCGAAAGGCGGCUCACUGGCCCGGUACUGACGCUGACGGCGCGAAAGCGUGGGAGCAAAAGGGAGUUAGAAGUUAACCC